UGGGGAAUAUUGCACAAUGGGGGAAACCCUGAUGCAGCGACGCCGCGUGAACGAAGAAGGUAUUCGUAUCGUAAAGUUCUGUCCUAUGGGAAGAUAAUGACAGUACCAUAGAAGAAAGCUCCGGCUAAAUACGUGCCAGCAGCCGCGGUGAUACGUAUGGAGCGAGCGUUGUCCGGAAUUAUUGGGCGUAAAGGGUACGCAGGCGGUUUAAUAAGUCGAAUGUUAAAGAUCGGGGCUCAACCCCGCAAAGCAUUGGAAACUGAUAAACUUGAGUAGUGGAGAGGAAAGUGGAAUUCCUAGUGUAGUGGUGAAAUACGUAGAUAUUAGGAGGAAUACCAGUAGCGAAGGCGACUUUCUGGACACAAACUGACGCUGAGGUACGAAAGCGUGGGGAGCAAACAGG
rnacentral:rRNA from 1 species